ACGGAAGGCAGCAGUGGGGAAUAUUGGGCAAUGGGCGAAAGCCUGACCCAGCAACGCCGCGUGAGGGAGAAGGUUUUCGGAUUGUAAACCUCUGUCCUUGGGGACGAAGGGAGUGACGGUACCCGAGGAGGAAGCCCCGGCUAACUACGUGCCAGCAGCCGCGGUAAUACGUAGGGGGCGAGCGUUGUCCGGAAUGACUGGGCGUAAAGGGCGCGUAGGCGGCGAUCUAAGUUAGGAGUGAAAGUCCUGCUUUCAAGGUGGGAAUAGCUUUUAAAACUGGAUAGCUUGAGUGCGGAAGAGGUAAGUGGAAUUCCCAGUGUAGCGGUGAAAUGCGUAGAGAUUGGGAAGAACACCAGUGGCGAAGGCGACUUACUGGGCCGUAACUGACGCUGAGGCGCGAAAGCGUGGGGAGCAAACAGGAUUAGAUACCCUGGUA
rnacentral:rRNA from 1 species